GCCCCGGUGGCGGAAUCGGCAGACGCAUCGGACUUAAAAUCCGUGGCUGCGAAAGCGGCGUGUGGGUUCGACUCCCACCCGGGGCACCA
rnacentral:tRNA from 1 species